rnacentral:rRNA from 1 species
AACGAACGUUAGCGGCGCGCUUAACACAUGCAAGUCGAACGAGAAAGGGCUUCGGCCCCGGUACAGUGGCGCACGGGUGAGUAACACGUGGGUAAUCUACCCUCGAGCGGGGGAUAACGUUCCGAAAGGAGCGCUAAUACCGCAUAAGACCACGCUCUCGAAAGGGAGCGAGGUAAAAGUAGGCCUCUGAAUUCACGCUUACACUCGAGGAUGAGCCCGCGGCCCAUCAUGGGUAGUUGGUAGGGUAAUGGCCUGCCAAGCCGAAGACGGGUAGCUGGUCUUAGAGGAUGAUCAGCCACACUGGAACUGAGACACGGUCCAGACUCCUACGGGAGGCAGCAGUGGGGAAUCUUGCGCAAUGGGCGAAAGCCUGACGCAGCGACGCCGCGUGGGUGAUG